rnacentral:rRNA from 1 species
ACGCUCGACACCUACGGGAGGCAGCAGUUAGGAAUAUUGGGCAAUGGAGGAAACUCUGAUCCAGCAACGCCGCGUGAAGGAAGAAGGUUUUCGGAUUGUAAACUUCUGAUCUGGUGGGAAAAAGAAAGUGAUGGUACCACAGGAGCAAGACACGGCCAACUACGUGUCAGCAGCCGCGGUAAUCUGAGCGGGCUGGCAAGGC